AACGAACGCUGGCGGCAUGCCUAACACAUGCAAGUCGAACGAGACCUUCGGGUCUAGUGGCGCACGGGUGCUUAACGCGUGGGAACCUGCCCUUAGGUUCGGAAUAACUCCCCGAAAGGGGUGCUAAUACCGGAUAAUGUCUUCGGACCAAAGAUUUAUCGCCUUUGGAUGAGCCCGCGUUGGAUUAGCUAGUUGGUAGGGUAAAAGCCUACCAAGGCGACGAUCCAUAGCUGGUCUGAGAGGAUGAUCAGCCACACUGGGACUGAGACACGGCCCAGACUCCUACGGGAGGCAGCAGUGGGGAAUAUUGGACAAUGGGCGAAAGCCUGAUCCAGCAAUGCCGCGUGAGUGAUGAAGGCCUUAGGGUUGUAAAGCUCUUUUACCCGGGAUGAUAAUGACAGUACCGGGAGAAUAAGCUCCGGCUAACUCCGUG
rnacentral:rRNA from 1 species